GACGAACGCUGGCGGCGUGCUUAACACAUGCAAGUCGAACGCGCCUGUCCUCUGGGUUUCUGGGGGGUGGGUGAGUGGCGAGCGGGUGAGUAACACGUGAGUAACCUGCCCCCUUCUUCGAGAUAACGGUCUGAAAGGGCUGCUAAUACCGGGUAUUCACUGGUCUCCGCAUGGGGUCUGGUGGAAAGGUUUUUUUCUGGUGGGGGAUGGGCUCGCGGCCUAUCAGCUUGUUGGUGGGGUGAUGGCCCACCAAGGCUUUGACGGGUAGCCGGCCUGAGAGGGUGACCGGUCACAUUGGGACUGAGAUACGGCCCAGACUCCUACGGGAGGCAGCAGUGGGGAAUAUUGCACAAUGGGCGCAAGCCUGAUGCAGCGACGCCGCGUGAGGGAUGGAGGCCUUCGGGUUGUGAACCUCUUUCGCCCGUGGUCAAGCCGCGACGUGGGUCGUGGUGAGGGUAGUGGGUAAAGAAGCGCCGGCUAACUACGUG
rnacentral:rRNA from 1 species